rnacentral:rRNA from 1 species
GUCCACGCCGUAAACGUUGGGCACUAGGUGUGGGUCUCAACCAACGAGAUCCGCGCCGUCGCUAACGCAUUAAGUGCCCCGCCUGGGGAGUACGGUCGCAAGACUAAAACUCAAAGGAAUUGACGGGGCCCGCACAAGCAGCGGAGCGUGUUGCUUAAUUCGAUGCAACGCGAAGAACCUUACCUGGGUUUGACAUGUCCGGAAAAGCUCUAGAGAUAGGGUGUCCUUCGGGGCCGGACACAGGUGGUGCAUGGCUGUCGU